ACGUCAGGUCAGAAAAAUGUGUCAAAACGGGGGGUGCUUUUACGCGAAUUUGUAACGUUGCCUCUGAUUGCACAAAGAAUACAAAUGCACCAAUGGAAAGACGGAUAACAAAGCUAGAGACACUUUUUUUCAUAGUUUGACAAAUGUGACGUCAAAUGUUGACUUUGUGAAGGUGAAAACUUCCGACGUGUAAAAAAGAUAUUUAUGCAAAGCGCACAUGUCUAUAAAAAAUCUCAUAGGUAGACGAAUUAUCAAGCUUCAAUCUGCACUAUGAACUGUGUUCUUUAACAACGUGUUCAUGUCAAGAUAAAAAUGAAAAGGACCCCACCGUCUAUACCGGAAGUACUUUUCCCUAGCGAUCAAGUGACAGACAGAGCCUGCCAGCUGAGAUCGUGUUUGUCAGCAAGCGUGGAAAUAUACCGUCUUUCUUAGAAAUAGGACCACUGACCAACUGAAGAGAAGAAGCCUGACUACUUAUGUUUUGCAAAGUGACAGAGAUUGGUCGCUAUUGUUUCUUCAGAUUUUAUUAUUAUCAUGCAACUUGACCUGUAUGCUGUUUUUGUGAUUUAUUUUAAGCAGUUAUACCUGCCAUAUAUUGACAGUUUGUGAUAGAGUUGAAAAUGUUUCUUCCUCAUAUGUUGUGCAUUGAUCUGCAUUGAUCUUUGCCAAAAUGGAUUCAUAUGACCCAGGAUCAUGACAUAACUUGCAACUGAAACUGUAUUUGUUGGAAACUAUUUGCUUAAGUAUUUAUGAUCAUAUUCAAAAGACACCUAGACCACGGCCUCUAAUACAAAUAUCAGAUAUGUUAUCAAUCCAUCAUGCAUGAGAUAUUGGAUUUGAUAUAAAAAGGCUUAGCUAAGAUUCUACAUGCUCCUUGGGCCAGGUUUAGUUUUCAACCCUGUGAUAUAUAUUUUAUGUAUUAUGUAGGAGUUUCUAGAACCUUAUUUAUUCAUUUCAUUGUGCUACAGACGCUGUCUGUAGAAAGGAGCAAGAGGUCCCUAUUUUACUUGAUUUUGACUUAUUUUGACUCCAGAGACUUAAGUUAACAUGAAACUUGCCUUGUAUGCAUGUAUUGUCAUUUUCUAGUCAUUAAUGCAUGUCAUACAUGGCCAAAUUGUAAUGGUAAUUAAACAGCAGAAAUGGGUACCACUGUCAGCGACAGAUUUUGCUGUUGAAUGUGUUAGAUACAUCACUUUUAUUGCAAAAAUAGAUAGACAUGAUGCCAAUAAACAACUACAAUGCAUACAAGUAUUAUUCAGAAGUGUAGAAUUAUUUUUGAAAAUAACCUAGCCAAUAUAUAGCUGGAAAGAAAUGCAGUAAUUUUUUAGGGAGCAGGUGUGUUUGAAUGCUAAUAACUUUUUUAUUAUAUUUUUCUGUGUUAAAAACAAAGUAUUUUGAUAGCUUAUCCUUUGCUCUGGCCCCACAUAACUUCCAUGUUAAUUGUACGGGUAACUAUAGAUAUUCUUCAAAAUACAUUUGUAUCUCUUGACCUUCAAAUUUCAAGGUCGAGCAUAUUUUAUAAACAUUGUAACAUAUGCUUUUUUAACUUGAUUGUCACUUUUUGGGGAUAAAAAGACGUCUUAUCACAUAACAAUGACUAUGUAUGCUUAUUGUGAUGAUGUUUUACUCAUGUUUAGACAUUAUUCAUGAAAACUUAGUGAAAAGUUUAAAAAGGAUUUAUACGGGGCUACACUUAAGGGGUCGGACUUUCAUAUUGGAUGUGGUAACUAUAUGUCCAUUAUCACUAAAAUUGAUAGACAAGAUACCAAUACAGAGAUAGAAUACUUAAACAUAUUUUUCUUCAGUGUAGAAAUACAUGUAUUUUUAAAAUGUUCCUAACCAAAAAAAUGGGUGAAAAAAGAAAUUCAUUUUUCUUUUCUGAGGGUGGGUGUCUUGUAAAUCUAAUAACUUUUUAAUAAAAAUUUUUGGUAUGAAAA
rnacentral:lncRNA from 1 species